AUGAAAUUCGGAUUGUGCUGGCUUUGCAGGUGCACGUCCUUUCAUCCACACCCUUGUGAACCUUUGACCUGGAAGCCCUCGGGCCGACAGGUAUUACACAAACUCUUUGCUAUGUAUGUGACAAUCGAUGAAGGCGCAAGCCUGAAUUAAUAAA
rnacentral:misc_RNA from 1 species